UCUUUUCCAAUAAUUUUGUUCUGGUUUUUUGCUCGAUCCUUUUGAAGCUCACAUGGACGGGAGAGAGAAUGGAGCGGCAAUUUCUUUAUUUCAUGGAUAAAUUUUCUGGGUUUAACUUCAAAAUAGUUGCUAUAAUGCUAGCAGCUCAAGUGAAAUAAGCUUUUUGGGAGCAAGGAAGUCUCAAAGACAAGGCUUUUGAACAGG